ensembl:lncRNA
GGCAGGAACGACACUGCCUUGGCUCUUUUUGGGUCCCUUGAAGUUUCAUGUGAAUAUUAAAUCAGUUUCUCAUGUUUUAAACUCUAUCAAUCAGCUGGAUUCUGACCAGAACUGAACCAGAUCUGUAGCUGAGUUUGGGGAGAAUCGUCAUCGUAGCAACACCGUGUCUUCUGACCUGUGAUCCUGGGAUACUUUUCAUUUAUUUAGACCUUUAAUUUCCUUCAACAGUGUUCUAUAGGCUUCAGGAUGUUUUGCUUUUUUUGGUUAAACAGAUUCCUAAUUAUCCCCUCCCCCUCUUUUGCAAAUUCCAGGGUGGUCAGAACUCUGUUCACCCCCUCACCUUUUGGAGACUUCUCCCGAACUGAAAUUCCAUGCCUGUUUUUCACGCGGCUAGUGCUGUCGCUAAUGCCCCGUGGUGACUAAGCACUCGCUGUCUACGAGCCGUUGGGUGAGCUGCUCGACUGUCCACACUUGACCAGGUCUGGCCCGAAGCUGCCCCUGGUGUGCACCUGCCCUGCUCGGGGCUCCGCGCCUGCAGGAGAAAGAAGAGGCAUGGACAUAUCUUAGGCCUCCUUGGCAACUUGUUCUUUAAUCAAAACAUCACAACUUGUGACUCUCUUGAUUAGGUCCCUCUGGCAGGGGCCCCCUGACUCCCUGCCUUGUCCCUGAUUUUUUAUUUAAUUUUUUCCCACUCUUCUGAUUUCUGGGUCAGAGACUUUGAGACUCAUUCUUGCUUCAGAUGGGCUCGGAGCUUCCGCCCGGCGUGAGGAAUGGGGAGUCCAGAGGGGCAGUUGGGGCCCCCACAGUGCGGCGAGGGGCCUGAUCACCAUCAUCCUUGACCUCUCUUGAACCCUAAUCCCUGCUGAGCCAAGGGCUAAAGGUCACGUUCUAAACUUACCUGGCUGGGCUCACCCCGGAGAGGCUGUCCUGGGUAGUCGUGGGAAGCGGGCCCAGGCUCCGAGCAUCGGCUUGUCUCGGGAGGACAGGCUCUGGGGCCCCGGAUCUUGAUGCAGGAGGCUCCCCCCACGCCCAGGGUGGGCGCUGAGAAAGGGGAAGAGGGAGGACAAUGCCGGGAGCCGGCAUAUUGCAUAUUGAGUGCAUAUUGCAUAUUGAGUGCAGCACUUUUCAGGAUCUGGAAUAGCUCAACUGGAAAUUCUAUCACUGCCGGUAGCCAGCGUGAGGAACUCCGCCC